rnacentral:rRNA from 1 species
UGUUAUACUUAGUUGAAAAUUUAUUUAAGCUUGAGUAGUAAUCAGUUAUGUUCUUGAAACUUAAAGGAUUUGGCGGUAUCUUAGUCUAGUUAGAGGAACCUGUUUUAUAAACGAUAAACCACGAAAUAUCUUACUUCUUUUAGUAAAAUCAGUUUGUAUACCGUCAUUAUUAGAUAAUCUUUAUAAAGAGUUAUUGAGAUAAAUGUUUAUUAGUAUAUUAGAUCAAGGUGCAGCCGAUAGGGAAGAAAGUAAUGGGUUACAAUGUUAUUUAGUAUACACGGAAGAAGAGGCAGAAUGUUUCUCGGAAGGUGGAUUUAAUAGUAAUUGUGUUUUAAUAAGGAGCAAUGAUAUUGGCUCUAUGAUAU